CGCCCAAUAGGCUCUGCCCAGUACCCAAUCCUGUCCCUGCCGGAGGGGCAACGCGUGGCUAGGGCCGGGGGCUGUAGGCUGGGAACUGCCUGGCCCUGCUAAGCUGCCCGCGUUCGCAGACAUAGGCACUGCCAGAAGCUAAUCAUCAAGAGCAUCGGUUCCUAAUGAUGACCUUUGAAGAUUCUGAAUAUUGUCGAAUGGGGAUGAGUGGCAAUCCUUUUACCCAGUCAUGGCAUGGUGGUACAGAAGUGGGACUGUCUCACAAACUGUUGUAAAACAGCAACUCACCUAAAGUUUAGAAAUACUCUGAUUCCAAGGUGUUUCUUAACCAGAUAAUGUGAGUGAGUUUUGAACAUAUUCCUCUUCUCUCCAAUGUCAAGUAAGUGCUGUUUGAGGCACUGGAUGGAGAUCAGGUGGGCAUAUUCCACAUCUUUCCAUUUAGAAGAGAAGGAGCUGCUGACAGGAUAUUCUGCAGAAGGCUGCUCGACUUUGGAGUUUGCUUAUGUCUUACAGGAGAUGCGUGAUGGCAGGCAUUAGAGGCACUGGAUCCUUUCUGUCUGUAUUCAUAGUAUGUGGUUUAGCAAGCAGACAAUCCGUUCAUCAGAAAGUUGGUUGGCAUAUGGAGCUCUGCUAGAAGCCAAAAGGGUCGGUACGUGCCAUACUGAAGCCCCCCUCCUACUCAGCUCUAUUCUGCAGGACCAAACAAGCAUGGAGGUGUAAAAGCAAUUAUUAUUAGCAGUUACUCCAACCAAGAACACAGUAUUAAUGACAGAUCCUUUCAGUCAUAGACAUGCUAACUCAGGACAAACAUUUGUUUGGACAUUUACGCUCUCAGCGAUCACAUUUUAUGCUCAUAGAUAAUUGCUUGAAUGCUUACUCUUCUACCCACCGGUUCCUAUUGUGUGUGGCCAGGUGAAACAGUUUCACUGGAGUAGAGAUGUCAAGUUAGUAGGGUCAUUUUAGAAGUCUGCAUAAUGUGUCUGGUAUAAGGAAGGAAUUGGUUAGCACAGACGACCAGGAUCCAGGACCUCUGGGUUCUAAUCUCAGCUCUGCUACUGAUUUAACUUUUCUGUACCUCACUUUAUCAGUCUGUAAACCUGUGUAUAAUACUUGCCUACUGUGAUGCUUCCCAGGGGUACCUAAGGCUAUGAGGCACCUUGCUACCCCUGCCCUUAGCACAAGGAAGCCUUGUCCUGUGUCUGCCAUGGGUCAGCUCCACAACUCCACUGUCCACAGGCAACACAAGCACUUCCCUCUAGGUCUCGCAGGCCCUGCUAUCACUCCACAGGUUAGUGAUGGGCACAUUCCAACCCUCAAGCCCUCUGAACGUCUGGAGUGUCCAGCCCCUGGUCCACUGGAUGCUCACAGUAUUCACAGAUUCACUUCUUCCAAUGAAACAAUACACCUCAGCUUACCACUUGCACCUCAGAUCACUGCUCUGCUUUACACACAGCACUUAGAUCUAUUUAUGGUGAAAUCAAGCCUCAGUUUAUUUAACAGAGCAUAGAGAAUCAAGUGUAGCAAGUAGAAGUAUGCAUUCUGGAGCCUAUACUUAAUUAAUCAGAUACUCUCAUGGCUUGUAGAAUGUUGCUCACCCAAAAUUCUUGCAGCGCUUUUCAGUCAGGCUGGCUGUGAUUCUCCUUUCCUGAGACAAACUCGCUGUCGGUUUGCCUUCUAAGUGAAGAAUUCAUUGUGUCUUACUGCACUCCAAGAAACAGCAGACAUGUCCUUUGUCUUUAUUCAUAUACAGGACACCCCCUUGUUGUUUGUUUGUUCCUGUAGAUUUCUUCUUGUAGAUUUCACAUUCACUCAGUCCACACCUGGCUGCAUAUACAAAUAGGCAUGUAGUGUGAGGCACACAGUACACAAAUGGCCAGACAGGGAGAUGGGUGUCAGUUACCUUCUGCCUGAAAGGAACAUUUCAGAGGUAUGUCACCUCCUGGUGACCUGCCUUAACUCCAAGACCUUAAGACCAUAAUUUUCAAUAUAGAUACAUUACUUCUUAAAUAUUAUCUAUGCAUACAUUUCAUAAUGAUUAUGAUGACCAACGGGAUCUUGGCUCUUGGUAGAGACGUGGCAUGCCCCCUUUUGGUGAAUUAUUGUGCAAAUAUCCAACCCAUGGAAUCCUUGUAAAACCCUAUGCACCUUCUGUGUCCUCUGCCAAAUUAAUUUGGCAUCAAGUGGUCAUUGGGUCACACCUACUUUACAGAGAGGUUGUGAACCUUAAGUGAUGUUUGUAAAUUUCUGUGAGCUCUUUGGAUGAAAGACACUACAGAAGUGUAUAUUAUUAUUAUGAUUUAAUAUUAGUUUAUUAUUGUUACCAUUUUAUAAUGCCUCAUCUUUGCAGCAGCAGUUGUAUUGGAUUCCCAGGCCAUAUUGAUGAUAAAUUUUACUUUCUACAAUUGACCACCUCUUGAUGCUUAAUAUUUUUAUUUAUAUAUUUAUUUCAGUUUCUAACAAAGCCAUGCAGUGCCUUUCCAAUAGUUUAUUGGAAUGUGCAUGUACAUCAAAUAAAAUAUAUCACAUACACAUUUUCAGAACAUUAAUAUAAAAGUCCAACCCAUAACAAAAUCAAGCCAUUCAGCUAAACCAAUGGAAUAAACAAAUCCCACUUUCUGCUUCAAAGCUGAUUUCUUCACCUGUCCUCACCCACCUUGAAUGUGGGGGGAAAAGAGAGACUUUGAAGCCUACUUUUAUGGAAUGCCCAGGGCAUAUAAGGCUGCUUUGCAUUGUCAAUGUGAUGGCCAGGAUCUGUAAAACCAGUGUGGGUCACGUCAGACUCAGGCACCAGUCUUGGUUUCCUGCUCUGUUCUUCCUCCAUGAGACAUAGAUCAUGCUUAAAUGUGCAUUGCAUGCUUUUAUGGCUGUCAUCGUCCUUUUUCUGCAUUUUCCCAUCCUCUUUCUGCCAUUCUUCCUCUAUUUCUUCAAAGCCUGUCCCAAAGACUGCCAGUUUUUCUCUCUCAAAUUCUCUUUUCCAAACUGCCACCUUCUUCUAGAACUUCCCCUGUGUUCCUAAAGCAUCACUCACUGUUUGCUACUGUUUUCUAGGACCACCUUCCCAGUUCCUGUUAACUUGUUCUGACACUGAUUAACUGCUAAGGGUGUAAUCAGCUCAUAGAAGUUAUAGAUAUGGGUAAUGGUCAGGUAGAUUAACGACCAUGAAUAAUAUCAGUUGUUAGCUAUGGUUAAUGAAAUGUCAACAAUGUUGGACCAUCUCACAAGACAUUAAAUCAUUGGAUAAAUAAUUUAAAUUAGACAAUUUUUCACAUUGUUGAGGAUUGCAGAUUUAUACACAGCAAAGUGAUAUCUGUUUAGAAAGCUGAGCUUUUUUAGCAAUAUUACUGUCAAUGAAUUUGUAAGGCAACACAACUUUUUAAAAAUAGCAACCACCAGUCGAAUGGAUUACUAUGAACACUAGCCAACUAUGCUUCAGAUUAGGAGAUCAAGACUAAAAAGCGAGAGAGCCAACAACAUUUCCAUAAUAUUUGCUGUCUCUCCAGUAGCAGCUUACAGAGAAGAAGAACAGCUCUUUGUAGCUGGAAAGCUUGUCUCGCUCACCAACAGAAGUUGGUCCAAUAAAAGAUAUUACCUCACCCAAUCUGUGUAUCAGAAUAAAAGAAAGUCAGUUAUCUGGCUGCUGAAUCUUGCCCAUAUGCUCAGGGUUUAGCUGAUCGCCAUAUUUGGGGUCGGGAAGGAGUUUUCCUCCAGAGCACAUUGGCAGAGGCCCUGGAGGUUUUUCGCCUUCCUCUGUAGCAUGGGGCACAGGUCACUUGCUGGAGGAUUCUCUGCUCCUUGAAGUCUUUAAAUCAUGAUUUGAGGACUUCAGUAGCUCAGACAUAGGUGAGAGGUUUUUCGCAGGAGUGGGUGGGUGAGAUUCUGUGGCCUGCGUUGUGCAGGAGGUCAGACUAGAUGAUCAUAAUGGUCCCUUCUGACCUUAAUAUCUAUGAAUCUAUGAAUCAGUUAUUUUUAGGAAAAUGUACAUCGCACUGGAAACAUAGAGAAAAUUAACCAGGGGACAUAUUUAUCCCUGAUCUAACUGCACUGAAAUCAAAAGUGAAAAGUGAAUCUAACUGCACUGAAAUCAAUCAAAAUGAAUUUGGUUCAUAAAUCAGACUUCAGACAGAUUUUACAUAUAUAUCAAGAUUCCCACACGCCUCUUCCACUGCCUCACUGAUAUACAUCCUGCAUAUCAUUAGCCACAUCAUUCACACUUUGUUAUGCUCAUCAUUUGUUGUGACCUCUGAAUUAAAGGCACAACUAACUUCUAUAUAAAACACAUCAAUAGUGAGAGCUAUGUUGACAGCUUGUUACUGAACAGCCUACAGCAGGAGUUGUGAUUUAGAGGAGGAAGGUGUGUGCAGCUGGAUGGUCCUUAGUGCAUGAGUUAAGAGAGAGAAUGGGUCCCAUUGUGAUCUCAGAUAAGCUUGGAUCCAUUGAUUUCACUGGAGAAAGUCAGAUCAAAAUCAGGCGUAGUAUCUCUGAUUACAUCAGAGAACAGUGUUCGACUCCUGUGAUAUACAAUAAGGCAAUUGAAGUCCUGCCCCACCUUCUGCACUGUGACUGUCCAGGGAAGUGCAUGCUCCUUUGAAAGUAUUUAGCCAUUGCUGCACCUGCCUCAUAGAUCCUGCAGGUGUUCUGCUUGCAGGAAGAAGGUCUCCAGCCAUAACAGCGGGUGUGGUGUCUGUCCACCAGUGCUGCAGCGGUGCUGACACAAUUUGAUGCUUAAGCUUUACGAGAACAUUUGGGAAAACUGGAACACUGAAGAAGCCUGAUUUUUCUACACAGUGCACAUUUGCUGCCCCUGCUGUUGUCUGAGCAGUAUUAUUGUGACAUCAGAGAUAAUCAGCCACUCCGCACUCACUCCCAUCACUUCAUUUGCCCACUUGGGGAGAGUCACUAUUGGCCUGGUUGCCCUGGCAAUGGCAGCCUUUGAUAAUUGAUUUACCUCUGACUUCCGAGAACAUGAUUACAGGAGGGAUUAUAAGGAAAGCAGGCUGAGUUUGGCUAAGCGCCUGCUGUGCUCCUCUGGGUUUGUACUGGGUGUCCAUUAAAGCUGCAAGAACCAGCGUGUGACCCCCACGCCCCAAAAAACACUCACUCUCGCUCUCUGUCUGCCACAACUCCUACCAUCCUGGGGGAGAAACCUGCAGGUUUCAGAAGUCAGCCAUGGACACAGGAAGAAAGGAAAGAACUUCAGCGGGAGUUUACCUGAGUGAAGAGUCAAGCCUGGACUCUCUGCAUGCUGUUUCUGUACUAGUUUAAUGAAGUAUGGGAAUUGAUAGAACGUGUUAGAAACUUCAGACGUCUUACUUCUUCCUGCCGCCCCAUCCAGGUCUCUUCCCACCUUUUCCAAGUCAUUAUCCAAGAAUCAUCAGAGAAAGCCCAAGCAUCCCUUUUGCUCCCACUUUUGCUUCAGUGUGUGGGGGAACAGCACCACUGCACAAGAUUCAUGCAUUCCCCUUGGAUGAGUCUGAUUUAUCCAUUGAAUCUGUGAUCAGUCAGAAAUCCACAGCUCCUGAUAUGGUGUGGAACUGAUGAUCAUUUUUCUAUUCUUCACACUACUGGAAAAUUUGAUUUGGGCAACCUUGCAUUACAGAGACGCAUGCUCUCCAUGGGGCGGAGUGGAAUACUAGGCAGUCAUGACAGUACCAGCCAUCGUCUCCAGAGACCUUUAAUCCCUGACAAAUCUUUUCUUCUUGAAAGAACCUGUGGGUGGUCUCCCUUUUUUCUAAUUUCAGUAAAUUUGGUACAUCACUUUCUAGUUAUGCAGCUGAUGCUCAUGUUUGUAUGAAUAGCUAUUAAAAAAGGGAAAGAUCAGAUGUUUGUUGUUUCAUUUCCAACAUAAAUCAAACUUUGUAUUCACAUUUCAAAUCUAGUUUAGCCCCAGGAAUAGCUUUAGUAUUGCUAAGUGUCUGGAGACUAUUGACUACAGAGACAUGUUUUUAAGCAGGCUAUAAUAGUUUCUACAGCUGUUAACAGUUCAUAGAAGAAUGGCAGCAUUAUUCAUCAGUGUUUAAAAUGUGCAUGACUUGCAUUGCACAGAAGUCAGAUUUGGAGAAUGUCAGAAUUUUUUUCUGAAACUCUGCCAGGAAAGUCUUCAAUAACUAGAGAAAUUCUUUUCACUGGUGAAAUCAACAUGCAGCACAUUGUGUUGUUAUAAUUGUUUAGAGCUCACCAUGAAAGUUGUCUUUGUAUGUGUGGAUGUACGGCUAGUACUGUUUUGUUUUUAUUUAUUCUGCAUUCUUUAUUUUAAUGUUCUUUCCUUUUUUCCAGACCAGAAAGAUUGUUAUUGAGCUCUUCACAGAGCUGAAAUAAUGCUGUGUGUUAAAAAAUGUUAACAAUUUUAAGAAGUUAUAAAAAUUUAUAAGUUGGCUGAGUA